GUUCAGAAGCUCUAUAUUAAAGACUGGGACGUGCGCCGGAGUUAACGCCAGAACAGGCGUCUUGUUCAUUUACAUCCGGCUUCACUUUCGAUUCCCUCGGGUUAUACAACUGCUUUACGUUCAGUUAAGAAAACCGUCACAUAAAUACUUCACAUUGGCUGUUUAAUAACAUGCUAUGUUUACUGACUGAUAUUACUGUUCACAUUCUGAUUUCUGACAUUCACACAAGACAUUCGCGCUGAAUGUCGUUGUAAUCUACACAAAGAGACGUGUGUUGUUGUUGCUAUAUCAUCUGAAUAUUAGUCUAAAAUCUUCAAUUUUCACCAUGGAAAGUUUCAAGAAUAUGUAUGAUCUGAUGAGAAGUGAGGGGUCCGUAUGGAAUUAAGCCAUAUGCCUGCUCGUAGACUGAAUUUUAAUUUGCCGGAAGUUUGGUAAGGUAAUAUUAAGUAAGGGAUCCGUAUGGAAUUAAGCCAAUAUGCCAACUGAAUUUUAAUUUGCCGGAAGUUUGGUAAGGUAAAAUUAAGUCUGCGGGGUUUACCACAUAUGUGAAUAUUGUGAAUAUCAUCAAUUGGAUUUAAACCAAUCAUAUCUGAAUGUUUAACGUCACAGGCUAUGUCAAGUAGAGAGGAACCAAUGGCAAUAGCAUGCAGACGAGCGGGUCUAAGACAGACAAGACUUGGAAAUUUUGUGAAACAACUCUCAUCGGUGCAUGUCACGCAUACUGAGCAUAGCCUUCAUAGGCAUACAGCGUAGAGAGAAAAUCACCCAUAAAAAGCAACGUUCCAAGCCAUGGUUGUCUUUGAGAUAAUAAUUAAAAUAAGAUCCACGUGGAUUCACGUAAUUGUUAUUGUGGAGAGAAACGAUUCAUCAUCGCAGCUGCAAGAAUGUAUCACAGAAACAUUAGAUUGACACUCUGACAGAGCCGGUAGUAUUGAAGAUAAC
rnacentral:lncRNA from 1 species